rnacentral:rRNA from 1 species
UUGACCUCGGAUCAGGUAGGGAUACCCGCUGAACUUAAGCAUAUCAAUAAGCGGAGGAAAAGAAACCAACAGGGAUUGCUCUAGUAACGGCGAGUGAAGCAGCAAUAGCUCAAAUUUGAAAUCUGGCGUCUUCGACGUCCGAGUUGUAAUUUGUAGAGGAUGCUUCUGAGUAACCACCGACCUAAGUUCCUUGGAACAGGACGUCAUAGAGGGUGAGAAUCCCGUAUGCGGUCGGAAAGGUGCUCUAUACGUAGCUCCUUCGACGAGUCGAGUUGUUUGGGAAUGCAGCUCUAAAUGGGAGGUAAAUUUCUUCUAAAGCUAAAUAUUGGCCAGAGACCGAUAGCGCACAAGUAGAGUGAUCGAAAGAUGAAAAGCACUUUGGAAAGAGAGUUAAAAAGCACGUGAAAUUGUUAAAAGGGAAGGGAUUGCAACCAGACUUGCUCGCGGUGUUCCGCCGGUCUUCUGACCGGUCUACUCGCCGCGUUGCAGGCCAGCAUCGUCUGGUGCCGCUGGAUAAGACUUGAGGAAUGUAGCUCCCUCGGGAGUGUUAUAGCCUCUUGUGAUGCAGCGAGCG